rnacentral:rRNA from 1 species
GACGAACGCUGGCGGCGUGCUUAACACAUGCAAGUCGAACGGAAAGGCUCCGCCUUUCUGGGGUGCUCGAGUGGCGAACGGGUGAGUAACACGUGAGUAAUCUGCCCUUCACUUCGGGAUAAGCCUAGGAAACUGGGUCUAAUACCGGAUAGGACCUCCUUCUGCAUGGUGUUGGUUGGAGAGUUUCGGCGGUUGGGGAUGGACUCGCGGCUUAUCAGCUUGGUGGUGGGGUAGUGGCCUACCAAGGCUUUGACGGGUAGCCGGCCUGAGAGGGUGAACGGCCACAUUGGGACUGAGAUACGGCCCAGACUCCUACGGGAGGCAGCAGUGGGGAAUAUUGCACAAUGGGCGGAAGCCUGAUGCAGCGACGCCGCGUGGGGGAUGACGGCCUUCGGGUUGUAAACCGCUUUCGCCUGGGACGAAGCGUGAGUGACGGUAACGGGAGAAGAAGCACCGGCUAACUACGUG